AGACUCCUACGGGAGGCAGCAGUAAGGAAUAUUGGACAAUGGCCGCAAGGCUGAUCCAGCCAUGCCGCGUGCAGGAUGAAGGUGCUCUGCAUUGUAAACUGCUUUUGUUCGGGAAUAAACCCUUUCACGUGUGAGAGGUUGAAUGUACCGAAAGAAUAAGGGACGGCUAACUUCGUGCCAGCAGCCGCGGUAAUACGAAGGUCCCAAGCGUUAUCCGGAUUUAUUGGGUUUAAAGGGUGCGUAGGCGGGUUAUUAAGUCAGUGGUGAAAGCUCCCAGCUCAACUGGGAAACUGCCAUUGAUACUGAUAGUCUUGAGUAUGAUUGAAGUGGGCGGAAUGUGUCAUGUAGCGGUGAAAUGCUUAGAUAUGACACAGAACACCGAUUGCGAAGGCAGCUCACUAAGCCAUAACUGACGCUGAUGCACGAAAGCGUGGGGAGCAAACAGGAUUAGAUACCCUGGGUAGUCCACGCCCUAAACGAUGAUCACUCGAUGUGUGCGAUAAACUGUACGCGUCCAAGCGAAAGCAUUAAGUGAUCCACCUGGGGGAGUACGACCGCAAGGGUUGAAACUCAAAGGGAAUUUGACGG
rnacentral:rRNA from 1 species